GACGAACGCUGGCGGCGUGCUUAACACAUGCAAGUCGAACGGAAAGGCCCUGCUUGCAGGGUACUCGAGUGGCGAACGGGUAAUUAACACGUGGUUGAUCUGCCCUGCACUUCGGGAUAAGCCUGGGAAACUGGGUCUAAUACCGGAUAGGAGCCAUUCUUAGUUUGAUUUUUGUAAAGUUUUUUCGGUGUAGGAUGAGCUCGCGGCCUAUCAGCUUGUUGGUGGGGUAAUGGCCUACCAAGGCGGCGACGGGUAGCCGGCCUGAGAGGGUGGACGGCCACAUUGGGACUGAGAGAAGGCCCAGACUCCGACGGGAGGCAGCAGUGGGGAAUAUUGCACAAUGGGCGCAAGCCUGAUGCAGCGACGCCGCGUGGGGGAUGACGGCCUUCGGGUUGUAAACUGCGUUCGCUAGCGACGAAGCUUUUUGUGACGGUACAUAGAUAAGAAGCACCGGCUAACUACGUG
rnacentral:rRNA from 1 species